rnacentral:snRNA from 1 species
UUGCUUUGGCAGCAGAUGUAUUAAAAUUGGAAACAUAAAAAGAAGAGUAGCAUAGAUGAUGUGUGAGAAUGACAUGAAAAUUCAUGAAGUAGUCCAUAUUUUU